GUUUGAGUAUGCUGCCCUUGACGAAACCCUCGCACCUUGUCUGCCCUGCGUGUCCGCUGUCUUUUAUGAGCACCCACUCCCACCCACACGUAUAUCUGUAUAUGCAUAUCUCCACACGCACAAGCAGCAACUAUACGUCCGCCUGGUCGUAACUCUACACAGUCUAGCGAGCAGAAGAGAGAACAACAACCGAGUUUUGCUUGUGCGGACGUCAUCGACAUACCUCUGCCACACACCUGGGCGUGCAGAAAGCGUAGGUACAGAGCACCGCAGCAGCUGCUGCUGCUGCUCCUCUUCCUCCCUCUCCACCAUUCCAGGUCGCUUCCAUUGGAGGAGCACUGCCCCAUCGCCUGGUGCGCGACGGGGACAAAAGGAAAAGCAAAUCAAAUACGGUGGCGUCGUCUUACUGCGUCUUUCUUCGUUGCCUCCCUGUUUUUGUGCGCACCAAGGUAAGUACAUACCAACAGGAAUCGCGAGCAGAAGGGGGGGGGCAGCGGCGGCGGCGGCGGCGGCAGCGCUGUCCAUACGACGUGGAAGGAGACACAGGGACGAGGGAGGGCUCAUCCAGGCGCACUUCCACUGGCUCAUUCGCACAGACGUUUGUGACUGCUUCGUUUUCUUUUGUUUUCUUUUUUGUUUGUUUGCCUUUUUCGCUAUCCCUGUUUCCACAUUAGUGUUCGCCUCUUUUCUUAAUUAUCUGCGUCUGUGCGUCUCUGUGUGUGUGUGCCGGCCCAUCCGCGUGCCUGCGAGUGAGUGAGCGCACUCGGCUCUCUUUCACUUUUUCUGUGCAUCGGCAUUGCGUCUCGUUCUUCGUGUUGCGCUGCACGUCUCUCUUGUCGCGCACCGGCUGCCUCUGCGUACAUCUCAUCUCCCCAUAUUAUCCUUCCUUCUGUGCCUGCAACGUCGCCUCCUCCCUUUUUACAAAUCUGCGCUGUCGCGCCUCCACGCGACCCAAUCGCGUCAACACGCAGAGGACACGCUCGCACUGAAGGAGAGGAGAAAGGAGAGAAAGCUGUCAUCAUUUUUGCCGUGCCGUAUUCCUUUCCGUCUAUCUGUGCUCCCCCCUACGCUGCGACGGCUUGUCCCCCUUCCUCUCUCUCUGCAGUGCGUGGUUCGUUUUCUUUUUCCAUGUUUGCUUUUGCGCGUUGUGUCUUCUUCAUCGACGCAUUUGAUCUCGCGUUCCUCUGAUAUCCUCCCUCCCUCUCUCUCGGUUUUACGCUUGUUGUUCUGGCGCGCUCGCUCCCCCUUUCGUGCAUGCCGCCUACCAUUGGUUGGUGGGGUGCAUCAUCUUAUUGCUCGUGAGCGAAACAAGUGGCACAGAGACGCACAGAGAACAAGGAAAAACAGCCAAAAAAAAACGAAAGCCGUCUCCUCCUCUUGUGCCCCUCAAGGUUUAAUCGUGCCAUUCGCAUCUGCUUGCUCUUUUUCUGUAGUAUCAGUUAUUGCUCUCCUUGUUGCACUCCACCACGUCGCUCUCCGUGUGUAUAUAUCGACCUGUCCAGCUGCCUAUGUGUGCGCGCGUCGGUGCGUGUGUGUUCUAUCGCUUCCAUAGUUGUUGCUGUGGUUGGCUCAUUAUUGCUCGUUGAACUCUUCACGGCACUCUCGCUUCUCUCUGCUUCCCCUUUUCGUUUUGCUGUGUCUGCUAACUUGCUUACUUUUUCGGAUUAUUGCCUCAAGCGUGCGCUCUCUUUCCGCCUCCUCACCUGGUGCCCCCUCUCGACGAGGUGCCGUCUGCAAGGUGACUCUCGCACGCACGACGCACACGGACAGCAGGUAACACGGUGGCCGGUCUCCCUCGUGUGCCGGGGCGUGAAAUUUGUUUCUCUGUUUGUACGAGUGAACACGGGAGAGCUACGCUGCGGCGGAGUGGGGGGUGCGGGUGCCGUUGAGCAAGGAGACGAGCGCUCGUGAAGGAAAGAGGGGGCCGGCGUAUCUCUCGCGGAGCUCACUAUACACACGUACGCAAAAGACGGCCCAACGCAUUUGCAAGCUGCCAAGCGAAAUAAGAUUAGCCGUAUCCAAAGAAGGCCAACUUCAUGCGUGCUUACCGCACAUGCGCAUACCUGCGUGUUUGUAAAGAAAACCGAAAAGACGAGACAAAAUCUAGAGGGGAGUGCUGGGAAGCCGCGUGGGCUCGCAUCCCCCUCACGCUAUACGGCCUAUGUUCCGGCAAGAAUCACUGCCAUUCGAAGAAACAAGGGAAAAGGCAAAAGCAGGCUGAGAGAGCGGAAAGAAAAAUAACAAUACUUGAGGCGAGCGAGUGACCCUUGUGUUUGCGUACCGCCACGCUCAACACCUCCGCUGCCGUUGUUGACGUCAACGUGUGGCGUGGAAAGCAGAACAUUGCACUGCCACCGCUUCUCGACGCGCUUCUCUUCAGCGUGCCGCUUUUCCAGCC
rnacentral:misc_RNA from 1 species